rnacentral:rRNA from 1 species
GACGAACGCUGGCGGCGUGCUUAACACAUGCAAGUCGAACGGAAAGGCCCUGCUUUUGUGGGUGCUCGAGUGGCGAACGGGUGAGUAACACGUGAGUAACCUGCCCUUGACUUUGGGAUAACUUCAGGGAACUGGGGCUAAUACCGGAUAGGAGCUCCUGCUGCAUGGUGGGGUUGGAAAGUUUCGGCGGUUGGGGAUGGACUCGCGGCUUAUCAGCUUGUUGGUGGGGUAGUGGCUUACCAAGGCUUUGACGGGUAGCCGGCCUGAGAGGGUGACCGGCCACAUUGGGACUGAGAUACGGCCCAGACUCCUACGGGAGGCAGCAGUGGGGAAUAUUGCACAAUGGGCGGAAGCCUGAUGCAGCAACGCCGCGUGCGGGAUGACGGCCUUCGGGUUGUAAACCGCUUUCGCCUGUGACGAAGCGUGAGUGACGGUAAUGGGUAAAGAAGCACCGGCUAACUACGUG